rnacentral:rRNA from 1 species
AUUGAACGCUGGCGGAAUGCUUUACACAUGCAAGUCGAGCGGCAGCGCGGGGGCAACCCUGGCGGCGAGCGGCGAACGGGUGAGUAAUGCAUCGGAACGUACCCAGUCGUGGGGGAUAACGUGGCGAAAGUCACGCUAAUACCGCAUACGUCCUGAGGGAGAAAGCAGGGGAUCGCAAGACCUUGCGCGAUUGGAGCGGCCGAUGUCUGAUUAGCUAGUUGGUGGGGUAAAGGCCUACCAAGGCGACGAUCAGUAGCUGGUCUGAGAGGACGAUCAGCCACACUGGGACUGAGACACGGCCCAGACUCCUACGGGAGGCAGCAGUAAGGAAUAUUGGUCAAUGGAGGGAACUCUGAACCAGCCAUGCCGCGUGAAGGAUGACGGCCCUCUGGGUUGUAAACUUCUUUUGGAUGGGGCGAAAAAACGGGNUUUAUCCUGGACUGACGAUACCAUCAGAAUAAGCACCGGCUAACUCCGUGCCAGCAGCCGCGGUAAAG